AGUCCCUUCGGGGACAUCCCGAUAAAAUUAGAACAAUGUAGAGAAAAUUAGCAUGUAUCAUGCGCAAGAGUGACACAAAUAAAUUGAGAAAUAGACAAUUAGUAA